rnacentral:lncRNA from 1 species
AUAAAACCGACCCAGGUCGGAUCCGCGGGUUGGGUCCGACCCGGGCCGGCGACCCAAAUGCGGACGGGCCCGCAACGCGGGCCCGACUCGGAUUUUUCGGCUUUUUCUCUUUUUUUUUUUUUUAUUUUAUUUAAUGAAACGGCGUCGUGGCCGGGUGUUUAGGGACACCCGGCCCGACCCGACAACCCGGCCCGACAAGCCGCUCCGCGACCCGACUCCCCAUGAAACCCUACCCGGGUCCGACCCGAAUCUCGACCCGGCCUUCCGCCGCCCCCGCAAUUUGCGGAAUCCCUACCCGGUUCUCGAUCCGGGUCCGACCCGACAACCCAGGGUCGCGACCCGGAAAAUCGGGAACCCUAGGGUUUCCGAAUCGCGACGCCGAGGCGCAACGGCGGGGACGGUGGCAACGGCGGCGGCGACAGCGACGGUAGUGACGAGGGUUGGACUGCGGAGGGGACAAUGGCGAUGACGACGACAGGCAGGGGAGGCGGCCAGGGUUUCGAGCAACGGCGACGAUGCGUCUGGGGGCGGUGGUGGCGUCUGCUGUUACCUGUUUGCAGCAACGGCGCGAUAAGGCGGUGAACGGUGGCGGCGACAGAGGGCUGUGCCGGCGAAGGCGAGGCUUCGGCUCCCCAGAUCUGGUCCUCCGGAACCUCCUCUCUCCGGCUUCGACCUUCUACGGCCUCAGCUUCUCCGGAUCUGGCCCUCCUCUCUGAUUUCUCUCUCACUCAACCUCCACACACUCGGAUCUCUCCCCUUCGGGCUCGCUUGCCGCCGGCCUCCCCCGAAGUCUCUCGGAGGGAGGUCAAUCGUGCUUCACGACCCGAUUUCUCGCGUGCUCGCUCGUUGAUUCUCCCUGAAGUCUCUCAAGGGAAGAUCUCCGAGUUCGCCGUGUCCUUCGACGGAGGUGGUGCCUCGCUAUUUAUAGGCGAGGGGGCGGCCGGUCGACGGGGCUUUGGCCGCCGGUCUUCGCACGCCGAACGGACACCCGCGGCCGAACCGGCAUCCCAUCCUCGCUCCUCCAACAAAGCGUGCUCAGCAUUGAAGGCGGCCAUUAAUGGCGCCUGAGAUCUGUCAUCUCCGGCCGACGUCGGCCUACCCUCCUCGGUUGUAGGUUGCCUUCG